rnacentral:rRNA from 1 species
UACGAAGGGGGCUAGCGUUGUUCGGAAUCACUGGGCGUAAAGCGCACGUAGGCGGAUUUUUAAGUCAGGGGUGAAAUCCCGGGGCUCAACCUCGGAACUGCCCUUGAUACUGGAGAUCUUGAGUCCGGGAGAGGUGAGUGAACUGCGAGUGUAGAGGUGAAAUUCGUAGAUAUUCGCAAGAACACCAGUGGCGAAGGCGGCUCACUGGCCCGGAACUGACGCUGAGACGCGAAAAGCGUGGGGGAGCAAAACAGG